UUUUAUUUCGCGAGAUUUGCUUGGCGCGGUGACCCAUGUGAGAGACACAUCCUGCAAAAAUCAUUCUCCCCUGCAGAGAAAAAGGCUAUGGAGCGCUGAACAUUUUCACUUGUAUCCCCCUUCCCCCAAAGGCCCCGUAUUUGUUGUGAUCAGAUUUCUGUAACAAAAAUUGGUGGCUAUCGGGCGGUGGAACGAUGUGGAUUCAGAUUCGGACCAUAGACGGAAAGGAGACACGAACCAUUGAGGAUCUUUCCAGGCUGACCAAAAUUGAGUAUCUGAGGCUGAAAAUCAAGGAUAUCUUCAAUGUAAACCCCCAACAACAACGGUUAUUCUAUCGGGGCAAACAGAUGGAAGAUGGCCACACGCUAUAUGACUACAACGUGGGGCUGAACGACAUCGUCCAGCUGCUAAUCCGUUCUCAGGCAGGGGAUGCUCCCGACAGCCCCCUCGUCCCGCCAAUUGCACCCCCUGUCACCCCUAAGGACUGUGACACCAUGUCCAGUAGUACAGCUCUUCCCCCCACCACCUCCAACACCACGGCUGGUGCAGCUACCACCCCCUCCCAAUCCAAGCCUACCAUAGUGGCCCCCAAACCCAUCCCUACCCUCACCACAGUCAACAACAACACAACCACAACCACCAGUAACAGCAGUACCACCAACACCAGUACCACUAGUACCAAAACCAGUAACACCAGUGAUCCCAAUAACAACAGGGCCAAGUCUUCUAGCCCACCAGCAGCGCUGGAGAAGCUCGACAACCAGCCAUCAACCUCUACACGUCCCUUCCUCAUAGACGCCGGCAUUGGGGUGUUCAAGAUAAAUGAGUUGGUGGACUGCAGAGACAUAAGCAUCGGUGCCUGGUUUGAAGCCUGCAUCGACAACGUGACGCGAAUCCCAAAGGGUCAGAACAGCAACAGCAAAGCUCCUACAGCGGGGAAGGUUGGCAGGCCUAGCAAAAGGACUAAUGGCAAGCUGGAGACAGAGCCGGGCCAAGGCCAAAGCCACCCCUCCUCCUCCACGGACACUAAUAAUGGAAAUAAUUAUUCUAUGUUAAACUCGGACAGUGGGCCAGGGGCUGGGUCCUCCGCUUCUCAAACAGACUCUACUGCCACAGACAAAGAGAAGGAGGAUGUCACGUACCAUAUCAAAUAUGACGAUUACCCUGAGAACGGCGUGGUGGAGAUGUGCGGUGGUAACGUGAGGCCGCGGGCUCGGACUCUGCUCCGGUGGGACCAGCUCAGUGUGGGCCUUGUUGUCAUGGUGAACUACAACAUUGAGAUCCCAGAGGAGAGGGGGUUCUGGUUUGACGCUGAGAUUACUGCGCUCAAUGAGAUCUCCAGAACCAACAAGGAGGUCCGCGUCAAGAUCCUACUGGGAGGGCCAGGGGACGUCAUCCCAGACUGUAAGCUGUUGUUUCUGGAUGAGAUCUAUCAGAUUGAGAAGACUGGAGCGCCCUCACUGUCUGCUGCAGAUGGCCAGUUCAAACGGAAGAGCGGGCCCGAGUGUAAGCACUGCAAGGCGGACCCCGACUCUGAGUGCAGGUUCUGCUCGUGCUGUGUGUGCGGAGGGAAGCAGGACGCCCACAUGCAGCUGCUGUGUGACGAAUGUAACAUGGCCUUCCACAUCUACUGCCUCAACCCACCGCUCUCCACUAUACCGGACGACGAGGACUGGUACUGUCCCACCUGUAAGAAUGACACUAGCGAGGUUGUGAAGGCUGGUGAGAAGCUGAAGGCCAGUAAGAAGAAAGCAAAGAUGCCAUCAGCCCAUACAGAGAGUCAGAGGGACUGGGGCAAGGGUAUGGCCUGUGUGGGGCGCACUAAGGAAUGUACCAUCGUCCCCUCCAACCACUACGGGCCCGUCCCUGGUGUUCCCGUGGGAACAACAUGGAAGUUCCGCGUUCAGGUGAGUGAAGCGGGAGUGCACAGGCCCCACGUGGGAGGUAUCCACGGCCGCAGUAACGAUGGCUCCUAUUCGCUGGUGCUGGCCGGAGGCUUCGAGGAUGAAGUGGACAGGGGAGAUGAGUUCACCUACACGGGCAGCGGGGGUCGCGACCUUUCAGGGAACAAACGCAUCGGGGAGCAUUCCUUUGACCAGACCCUAACCCACUACAACAGGGCCCUGGCGCUGAACUGUGACGCCCCCAUCAACGACAAGGACGGGGCGGAGUCCAGGAACUGGCGUGCGGGGAAGCCAGUGAGGGUGGUGCGGAGCUCCAAGGGACGACGCAUCAGCAAGUACGCCCCAGAGGAGGGCAACCGCUACGAUGGCAUCUACAAGGUGGUGAAGUACUGGCCGGAGAUAGGGAAGUGUGGUUUCCUGGUGUGGCGGUACCUGUUGCGGAGGGAUGACCUGGAGCCUGCUCCCUGGACACCUGAGGGCCUGGAGCGCAUCCAGAAACUGGGCCUAGCUGUACAGUAUCCUCCAGGCUACGUGGAGGCCAUGGCCAACAAGACCAAGAAGGAGGCUAACGCUCGACCAGGGUGCACUAGGAGCAAGAAGCAACCUGGACGGGGACGGCCACGGCUACUCCCCCUGGAGAAGAAGGUGAAGGAGGACGAGAAGAAGCCCAUGGAGGGUACAGAACAGCCACAGAGCAACGGCAGUCAGAAGACACCCAAGGACAAGGAGACAGAGGUGUGUAGGGAGUCGGCGGAGCCCCGAGCCAAGCGUCUGAAGAUGGAGGAGGCGUUCCAGCUGACAGAGCAGCAGCAGAGCCUCAUCAAGGAGGACCAACCCAACAAGAAGAACUGGGACGAGGCCAUGGGACACCUCAAGGAGGGGCCGAUAAUCCAUCCACCUGGCAGGUGUAACAUCCAACCAGCCUCACAACCGCAGACCACGUGCAACCACACCAGCCCAGGACCUCCACAUCCAGCUUAUUCACCUGCGGGGUCAUCUGAGGAGGGGGAAGGGGGGUGCUGAGGAGUAUUUCUGUCUGUAAUAAAGCCCUUUUGUGGGGAAAAACAAAUUCUGAUUGGCUGGUGAACCUGGCUCCCCAGUGGGUGAACCACUGGCUCCCCAGUGGGUGAACCACUGGCUCCCCAGUGGGUGAAUCCAUAGAUUAGGGCUUAAUAAAUGUAUUUUAAUUGACUGAUUUCCUUCUACACAAUACUGCCUCACAAUGUAGUCUCCUGACUUCCUACUUCUAAACAAUAGCUGAACCAACACAAGUCUCAGCUAGCUACACAACCUACCUACAAGGACUUGUAUGUACUUCUAUUAAAUGAAAUUAAGCAGAUGAUCCAUGGCUAACUAAGAUGUGUGAUGCUGCUGUUACUAUUGUGACAGCUGUGCCUGUGUUCCUGUCUUUCUCUGUAGAACUUCUUGAGGAAGGUGGAACAGACCUUCAUGUGUGUCUGCUGCCAAGAGCUGGCCUACCAACCGGUCACCACUGUCUGCGCGCACAACGUCUGCAAGACCUGUUUGCAGCGGUCUUUCCGAGCGGAAGUGUACACCUGCCCUGCAUGUCGCCACGACCUGGGUAAAGAUUACAUCAUGGUCCUCAACAAAACUCUACAGCUGCUGUUGGACCAGUUCUUUCCUGGGUACAGCAAGGGCCGAUGAGGCCACACACACACGCGCACACACACUACAUGUACACGGCGACACACACAUAGAUACACACAUUUGCACUUACACAAGUAGUUACACAAAUCACAUACCGAUGAUGCACACAUACAAAACCUACGUAUAGACACAUUGGUACACACAUACAUGCACCUGUUGAACUUGGACUGUCCCCAUUAACUUCACCAGCCUGAAAUCAUCCAUGCCUCAGAAGACCUCUCCUGAGCACCACCCACCCCUAACCUUGCCAUGGAUUCCCUUCCUGGGUACCACCACCCCUUAACACCCCAAAGGGUUCCCUCCUUCCCAAGCCUUCCACGUCCCCAGUCCGCAGAACUUAGCAGUUCAUCACCUGUCCAUGUGAGGAACAGCCAGCGAGGAUGCUAAUGCUAACCAUAGCCAUGUAGAGAAUAUAUGGCUCUAACGCUACGUAGCCUCCAGGGGAAGGUGCCUGAAGUCAGCACCUAUAGGGGUCAGGGGUUCGGGGUCACAACCUAGAGAAGCGGGGUGAUGGGAAAUGUAGUGUACAAUGUUAGUUUUUUUCUUUGUUACUGGUCCAUUUGAAUUUCAGCCUGUUCCUCCCUUUCUUCUUCUCUCUGAUCUCCGUUCCUUUUUUGUUUGUUUGUUUUCGUGGUGAUGUCCUUUUCAUUCAAAGAAUUCAGGAUUUUUUAAAGACAUGCAAAUGCAAAAUGUUUUAAAUUAUGCUAUGGUCUCUAAAGCAGCAAACUGUGAUGUGCAUUCCUUCCUACUGCUCAAGGCGCAAAUAUACAGAACAGAAAAUAAUUUUCUCUCUUCUGUAUCAACUCGCAAGCUAAUAGUUUCCUUCUCCUCUGUGAGCUUUGCUUCGUCCCCACCGUCCCUAGGGUUGCAAGAUUCCGGUAACUGCCCAACAUUCCAGGUUUUCCAGAAAUCCCGGUUGAAAGAUUCAUGGAAUCAGGAGGGAGAAAGCAGGAAAUCCAGGAAUCUUUCAACUGGGAUAUUUAGAAAACCUAUGAGAAUUUUGGGAACAUUUGCAAUCUUACCUGCCCCCAGUCGUGUACUCUACCUACCACUGCUGUGGACAACAGUAACUGUCUAGACGUCAAGUGGACGCUUCGCUUCAGCUUUAGUGUUGUGUUCUGUUUUUAUUGCACUUAUUGAAGAAAAAGAUGUUGAAAAUAAAAAAAGUAAUGUCUAUAAUUUCCAAUAAUGCUACUACAACAUAUGGCAUUUUUCUAUAAUUUUAGUUGCCUAUUCUAUUUUAGUCAUUAGUUAUUAUUUUAUGUGGCAACCUUUACCUGCUGCUGUCAGCCUGAUUGAAGAGUUUCAUUGCUUCAUAUUGUGAUCUGAAAUUUUAUACAUGGUAUAAUAAUACUUGAUAUGCACCUAUUAAAUAUUUUGAUUCCAGAAAAAAAA